rnacentral:piRNA from 1 species
GCAAAGGACCUCAAAUCUCAGCAUGUACACC